GUGCUCGCUUCGGCAGCACAUAUACUAAAGUUAGAACAAUACAGAGAAGAUUAGCAUGACCUCUGCACAAGGAUGACAUGCAAAUAUGUGAAGCAUUCCGUAUUUUU
rnacentral:snRNA from 1 species